rnacentral:lncRNA from 1 species
AGCAAUUGUGAAUUGGAGUUCAUUUAUUAUUUGACUGCUUGUCUGUUGUUUGUGUAUAGAAAUGCUUGUUAUUUUUGCACAUUGAUUUUGUAUCCUGAGACAUUGUUGAAGUUGCUUAUUAGCUUAAGAAGCUUUUGGACUAAGACGAUGGGGUUUUCUAGAUAGAAGAUCAUGUCAUCUACAAACAGAGACAGUUUGACUUCCUCUCUUCCUAUUUGAAUAACCUUUAUUUCUUUCCCUUGCCUGAUUACCCUGGCCAGAACUUCCAACACUAUGUUGAAUAGGAGUCGUGAGACAGGGCAUCCUUGUUUUGUGCGAGUUUUCAAGUUGAAUGCUUCCAGGUUUUGCCAAUCCAGUAUGAUACCGGCUGUGGGUUUGUCAUACACACCUGUUAAUAUUUUGAGGUUCUUCUCCGUGCUGUAAAGUACCCUGAAACUGUGAAGGUGCCCUCAAUUAGAGAGGCUGAGAAAACAAGGAUCCCAGAGCAAGCUCUUCAAGCCUCAGACAGAGAGCCUGCCAAACCAGUCUGAAUAUUUUUAGAGUAAACAAUCAUUAAUAAAUAUGAGCUACAUUUAUACUCACAGGAAUCCAGAUUAUACUCAUACUUUUUUAAAAAAUGGGUUGCCUCUAAGUGUAUUCAAUUCACCCAUGAAGAAAUUUUGUUAACAUUUAAUGGUAGGUGUCUAAUGAACAUCUGUGGAAUAUGGAAUUAAAAGAAUAAGUUGAUGGUUCUUAACAUACUAUUAUAAACUAAAUAUGUAUUACAACAUUUUCCUUUUGUAGAUGGAAAUUAUUCUAUACUUCACAGAUGUUGCUUAUAUAGUUAAUAAAUACUCUACAAACAAAAAAUAUAAUCUAUGUGUUCAUAUUUACUGUUGCCUAAAAGUUGUCAAAAUUUAAAAAACCAUAAGUCUUCAUUAUAAUCACAAAGUACUGGAACAAAGCAUUUUGAUAUUCCAUCCACUUCUAUGCAUGGUAAAAUCAGUGGCUCUAUAUACUGUAAAUGUAUAUAUCAAUGUCUUAUUCUGGAAGUUCAGGUAAAACAUAAAAUAUUUAAUUAUCUCACUGUAAUACACAGUGGUUCCAUUUGAAAAUUAUGCAUCUCAAAAUGUUGCAUUUUAUUUAAUGAGUUCUUUUUAAUGUUAUGUGGGUUGUCUCUUUGAGUUUUACCCUACCAAAAAGCUAAAGAGCUAUGGAAUAGCAUACCUCAUUAAGAGAAUAAAGAGUUACUAGAUUACAUUAGUAUUUCUUCUCAAGUACAUAUAGUCAUAUAGAUUAUGCAGGGUAUCAAGUGUCAUGUUACAUUUUAAACAUGACCACUAGGAUUUUAAGAAACAUCACGGGCAUCAUCUUUUUUAAGCUACUACAUAUUUAUUUAUGAAAUGACUUACCUGUAACCUAAACUGUGAAUCUUAGCCCUUCAAAAAUGGAAAUCACAAAAAUAAUACCAAAAAAUGCCUUAAAAUUCUUGGGGAUUUCUUUUCUUUUUCUGUAAAGGCCUCAGGCUAAGAUUUAGAUUUUUAAAACUUAAAUAGCCCUCAGUCCCUUUGUCAUUUAAUAACAUCAGUUUGACUCUGCAUCACUUGGGAAUCACAGAGUUCAGAGAAUUUUCUAAGACUAAGAAUUGUCAGAUAGUUGGAGGUGUGUGUGAUGUGUGUGAAUGAGGACUCAUCCAAUGAGUGAAGAAUGACAAAAAUGAGAUCACUUCCUAGAGAGAAGAAGACUAAAUAUGAAUACAACAUGGUGACAUGGUGUGGUAUAUAGUCCCUGAGGGUAACCAUAUCUCAGAUCACAUUAAUGGUAUAAUGUUCAAUUUUACUGAGCCUCAGUUUCCUCAUUUUCAGUAGGUACCGUAUAAAUUACAUCCAACAAAUAUUUAAGUGUUAUACAUUCCUUCAAAGUGCAAAAUCAAUGUGGCAUUUUCUCAUUAAAGC